rnacentral:rRNA from 1 species
GAUGAACGCUAGCGGCAGGCUUAAUACAUGCAAGUCGAGGGGCAGCAGGGGUAGCAAUACUCGCUGGCGACCGGCAAACGGGUGCGGAACACGUACGCAACCUUCCCAAAACUGGUGAAUAGCCCUCCGAAAGGAGGAUUAAUACACCGUAACAUAAUGAAGUGGCAUCACUUUAUUAUUAUAGCUCCGGCGGUUUUGGAUGGGCGUGCGCCUGAUUAGGUAGUUGGCGGGGUAACGG